rnacentral:rRNA from 1 species
UACAGAGGUGGCGAACGUUGUUCGGAUUUACUGGGCGUAAAGGGUCCGCAGGCGGCCCGGUGUGUCAGGUGUGAAAGCCAACGGCUCAACCGUUGAAUUGCACUUGAAACUGCCGGGCUAGAGUACUGGAGGGGAGAAGGGAACACUUGGUGUAGCGGUGAAAUGCGUAGAUAUCAAGUGGAACACCGGCGGCGAAGGCGCUUCUCUGGACAGAUACUGACGCUCAUGGACGAAAGUUAGGGUAGCGAAAGGG